AUAUUUUAUAUAUACAAUACUUAUUACUAUUGAAUCCCUAUUGUUUUUAAAACAUAAAAGGAGAUAGCUGGACAACAUGUCAGGUGCAUUGGUGUACCAAAUUCAAAGAAGAUUUUUUUUAAAUAGUAAGAUCAUUUAUUUAGGUAUUAGAUUAAGAGCCUAGGUUUUGCAAAUCAUCUUCACUCCAAUGUGAACAGGAAAUUUCCUCACAUCAUCCUUCCUCAGGGUCAAGUUUUCCACUGAGGUAGGAAUAGGUUUGGAAAGGAUCUCUGCAAGUUAUCUGGACUUACUGGAUGGAGUUUCUUUUACAUCAGGUAUGCUCAGGUGUGGAAAAUAACUCACAGGGCUGUGCUCAGAGCAAGCUGAGGAUCACAGACCUGUCAUCAGGCGUGAGAACCAGGAAACCUUUGAGUUCUGCCUGUGUCAUGAACAGUAGUAUCAUAGCCUUUAUUCGUUAAAUGAUCCAUAAAUAAAUUAAAAUCAAGAGAAAGAAAAAAGAAAAAGAAAGGGUAAGAAUAUAAAGGGAAAUGGAUUUUGUUGCUAACCAAGUGAUAUCUGUAUGGGUGGAAUCAAAAUAGCUUCAAAUAGCAUAGGAAAUACACCCAUUCCUGUCAGCCAGCAAAGCAACCCACUAGGGACAAACAAAUCCCCCUGUAGCUGAAUCCCAGAGCUCGUGGGCACGAUAUGUCUCCUGUGGGCUGUUGUAGUCAGCCCUGUCAAAUCCAAAGUCUUCCCUCCCUGCCUCUCUCCCAGUUGUAUUCCCUUUCUCCACCAAUCGCUGGAGAAAAAAAAAAAAAGACAAUUGCUGUAGAGCUGUAUCAGAGAUGCCAAUCUAAUUAUUUUUUCUCUUUUUUUUCCUUUUCUUUUUUUGGACAUUGCAUCUGUGGAGGAGGGAGGGGAGGAGAGGGAGUUGCAAAGGCAGGGGCAGCUGAAGAGGGAAAGGAGGGGGAGAAGAAGAGAAAAUAUUUCCUUUGGCAAUUCUGUUUCGCUUUUGAAAAGGGACUACUUUCCUCACUCCUUAUCCCUCCUGACAAGUACAAGCACUUUGGGCCCUAACUGGAUGUGAACAUUGUCAAAAGGAAUUUGGGCUAAAGGGAGGCAUCUGCAGUUCUGUUCCUAUUGCGUUCGGUGCUGGAGCCACUUUUGCGAAUGUGGCAGGGUGGCUGGUGGGCAGACACCAGUACAGAUGGGAACUUCACAUACUGUAUGCAUCAUGACCAACUAUAAAAACAGUCACAACGCAUCACUUGUUACCCGGCCAGGCUCCCUGGAACCUUCACUUCCAAUUUCCAUCUCUCUGACAUUCACAGCUUACACUGAGCUUUUAUGUUUAAGCAUCAGUACAGUAUUAAUGCAGGAGAAAAGGGGUGGCUGGGCUACCACAGCAAGGAAUUAAACCUCUGAUCUCGGCCAGACAUUGGAAGGGGGGAGCAAUUCAAGGGGAAUUGUGUAACCGGACUCUACGGAAAAGGUGCGGGGGGAAAGCAGGGGAUGGGAGUCAGGAAUAUUUCUUGACGCCGUGAACACACAGCAAGUGAGGAGGGUUCUGAAAAAGAAACAUAGCAAGCAGGCACUCUCCCAAAUUGUAAUUUAAUGCUUGGAAUAAUCCUAUUGUGUCAGCUACUCACCGCCAAAGAACUGAGGAUAAAUAUAACUUUAAAAAAAAAAAAUUAAGGGGAUGGCAAUUUGAACAGCUUAAUGUUUCUUCAAAGGCUGAGUGAUGGAAAGCAGCGCUGAGGUAAAUUGACAACUCGGAAUUAACUGGGUGCUGGCACAGCUCAGCCGGUGCUGCCGAUGCUGUCAAGGUGGAGAUUCGAGCUUUAUGUACAGUGCCUGCAGCCCUGCCAUGAUUUGUAGGAACUGCAGCUCAAGUAUGAACCAAGAGGAAGCAAAAAUCUCCAAGCCAAAUGGCAGACUCUUAAAUUUGCUACAGCAGAGCCCUGACAUAUGGUUUGGUUUGCAAGGAGUUACAAAGCUCAGUGGAUGCCAGUGAAUUCAGCCAUUUAAUGCUGAAAUAACACCAGAUU